rnacentral:piRNA from 1 species
UGAGCAUUUGUUGAAGUGUCUACCUUUGU